rnacentral:rRNA from 1 species
CGUAUAUGGUUUCCUAGUGGCGAACGGGUGAGUAACGCGUUGGUGACCUGCCCCGAAGAGGGGAAUAACAACUUGAAAGAGUUGCUAAUACCCCAUAAUAUCAUAAGGAUUAGAUGCCUAAUGAUUAAAGGAGUAAUCCGCUUCGGGAGGGGGCCUGCGUCCCCAUCAGCUAGUUGGUAGGGUAAUGGCCUACCAAGGCGACGACGGGUAGGGGGCCUGAGAGGGUGGCCCCCCACAAUGGUACUGAAACACGGACCAU